AAGUCGUAACAAGGUCUCCGUAGGUGAACCUGCGGAGGGAUCAUUACACAAAUAUGAAGGCGGGCUGGAACCCCUCGGGGUUACAGCCUUGCUGAAUUAUUCACCCUUGUCUUUUGCGUACUUCUUGUUUCCUUGGUGGGUUCGCCCACCACUAGGACAAACAUAAACCUUUUGUAAUUGCAAUCAGCGUCAGUAACAAAUUAAUAAUUACAACUUUCAACAACGGAUCUCUUGGUUCUG
rnacentral:misc_RNA from 1 species